UGAGGGAUAUUGGGCAAUGGGGAAGACCCUGACCCAGCGACGCCGCGUGAGGGAAGACGGUCUUCGGAUUGUAAACCUCUGUCUUUGGGGACGAAGAAGGACGGUACCCAAGGAGGAAGCUCCGGCUAACUACGUGCCAGCAGCCGCGGUAAUACGUAGGGAGCGAGCGUUGUCCGGAAUUACUGGGUGUAAAGGGAGCGUAGGCGGGAUUGCAAGUUGGAUGUGAAAACUGCGGGCUCAACCCGGAGAGUGCAUUCAAAACUGCGAUUCUUGAGUGAAGUAGAGGCAAGCGGAAUUCCUAGUGUAGCGGUGAAAUGCUUAGAUAUUGCGCAGAACUCCGAUUGCGAAGGCAGCGUACUGGCGCCUGACUGACGCUGAGGCACGAAAGCGUGGGGAUCGAACAGGAUUAGAUACC
rnacentral:rRNA from 1 species